AUUAUUAUAUUACUUUCUUAUUAGGAUAGUAUUAUUUAUUUCUUUGUAUAGCAGGAUAUAAUCCUGUACUUCCAUAUAAAGCUUUUCCUCUCUCUAUAUAAGAGAAUGGAUUUAGAUGAAUAAUAUACAGAAAAUUUCUCAAAUCUCUUGUUUCAUAGUAUCAGAGCCCUUCUAGGGUUUUAUUCUCUUUCGACGACUUUUUGCUCAUCUCCUCAGAAGGCGAAUUGUUCGUCCAGAUCAGCACCACGUCUGAGGACGACACGAUCCUGUUCUAGUGGUUAACUGGGGCUGCGAUCGUCAUCAUCACGUCUGUGUGGCUGCGCAUCAUAUCUCGACGUACGUCUGACCAAGUUGCUAGGAGUCUCUAGCAAGCCACUUCUUCAGAUUUGUCCAUUCUAUCUCUUCUCUUUAUUUAUUUAAGUUAUGACAUCUUCUACCAAUCAAUUUCCUCAACUAGAUGUCAAAUUAUCUGGUUCUAAUUACCGGGAGUGGUCGGUGUCUGUAAAACUUUUACUUGAUGCCCUAGACUUAACAGAUCAUAUUAAUGACACUAGCCCUCCUGCUGAUGAGAAGAAACUCAAAGAGUGGAAUAAUGCUGACAGACGUACUCGUGGAAUUAUAUCCACGUCUGUAGAAAUUGACAUCAGAAUGCAGUUGGUGAGUUUCACUACAGCUCAGCAAAUGUGGGCUCAUCUUCAAAAACUAUAUGAGCAAUCUAGCCAUGCUCAAUCAUAUGCUGAAUUCCAAGAGAUCACAUCGGCCCAUCAAGGUGAACGCUCCAUUCAGGAGUUCUAUAGCUUUAUGCAAGCACGGUGGCGCCAACUAUCCAUCAUGGACGAAUCAUUAUGCCAGACUUGUUUGGCUUGCACUUGUGCUACCAAACAAACGCAAAUUCGUGAUCAACAGCGUCUUUUUCAAUUUAUUAUGCGUCUACGGCCAGAGUUCGAGGCCUUACGAGGCCAACUUCUUCAUCGAUCUCCGCUACCCACCAUUGAUGCUGCACUUGCAGAGCUUAUUGCAGAGGAAACUCGUCUUCGAGUAUUGCAUUCCUCCAGUCCUUCAACACCGACUGUACUUGCUGCUCCCAAUCAAGUUCCUCCUGAGCCUUUGAGUUCUACUAAUUCGUUUGUUCCUCGAAAGAACAAACGCAAUAUCCAAUGCAAAUAUUGCCAACUCUGGGGGCAUCAUAUUCAAGAUUGCAGGAAAAAGAAGUGGGCUGAUCAACAACGACAUUCUCCACGUGGUUAUCCUGCUGCUGCUUCUACUUUGCAGAUCGAGCAUCCUUUCAAUACUUCUUCUAACAACGUAGGACAUCACACUGCUUCUACUCAACUCAGCUGGCCUCAACUAAUGCAGCUACUUCAACAGAGCAAUCUGAAUAACUCGACUCCAAAAGAGCCAGAAUCCAGUCCUCAGACAUCAUCAGCACCACCAGGUUUUGGUUCCCUUUCAACACCUAGCUUUGGAGGUAAUUCUAAGAAUUCCUGGGUUCUAGACUCAGGUGCUUCUUUUCAUAUGACUCCACAUGAUUCAUUACUUUCUUCACCUUCCCUAUUGUCUUCUCCGCUCAAUAUUUUUACUGCUGAUGGUACACCACUUCCUGUUACUCAUUAUGGUACAUUAUCACCUACCAUUGGUAAUUCUGCCAAAUUUUAUGUGCCCUCUGUUUUACACAUACCAAAACUUUCUUUAAAUCUUUUAUCUGUUAGCCAAAUUACUGAUCAUGAUUGUACAGUUACAUUUGACUCAUCUUCUUGUCGUGUUCAGGAUCGUCGAACAGGGACUUUGAUUGGACAGGGCCAUAGGCGUGAUGGCUUGUACUACAUGGAUCAUCUGCAUCUACCAUCCAACCAUAACUCUGUUAACGCCACCACUACUUCAACCAUCUCUAGCUCUACUUUAUGGCAUCGUCGCUUAGGUCACCUUUCUUUCGAACAUCUUAAUGUUUUAGUUCGUCGUGGUGUAUUAGGCAAAUUUUCUGUUUCCAAUAAUCUUAGUUGUAUGGGUUGCAAACUUGCUAAACAUACUACUCAACCUUUUCCUGCUAGUAACUCUGUCUCUCAUGCUGCUUUUGAUUUAAUUCAUUCUGAUGUUUGGGGUCCUGCUCCUAUUUCUACACGUAUUGGUAAUCGAUACUAUGUGAUCUUUGUGGAUGACUAUUCUCGUUUUACCUGGAUAUAUUUUAUGAACAACCGGUCUGAACUAUUGCAAAUAUAUAAAAAUUUUACAGUUAUGAUUCAAAAUCAAUUUGGCACAAAUAUUAAAAUUUUUCGUUCAGACUCUGGUGGUGAAUAUAUCUCUUCUGAAUUCAGACAAAUUCUUGCAAGUCAAGGCACCUUACCUCAGCUUUCUUGCCCAUAUGCUCAUCAACAAAAUGGGGUUGCUGAAAGAAAGCAUCGUCAUAUCAUGGAUACUGCUCGGUCUCUUCUUUUUGAUAGUUCUGUUCCUUCACAAUUUUGGGCUGAUGCUGUCAAUACAGCUGUUUACUUAAUCAACAUUAUGCCUUCCAGUGUCCUUUCAGGUGUCUCUCCUAGUGAGCGGUUGUUUGCCAAGCCUCCUUCAUAUGAUCAUCUACGAGUCUUCGGUUGCACUUGCCUUGUUUUGCUACCUCCUCACGAACGAAAUAAACUGUCUCCUAAAUCUGCUAUUUGUAUCUUUCUAGGGUAUAGUCUUGAGCAUAAAGGGUAUCGUUGCUAUGAUCCUAACACGAGACGUCUUCGGAUUUCUCGUGAUGUGAUUUUCUUUGAGCAUCUUCUCUAUUAUGCCCAACCCACACCAGCCACUGCAUCUUCUUCAUCUGCCCCUAUCGAUCUUUCUUUUUUGCAUGAUUCUUUCCAGGGCAUUCCUCUUUCCCUGAGGACUCUAUCUCUCAUAAUACCUCUCCUGCAGAUGAAAGUGAAGUUCAUGCCUCUCAUGAUGGUCCUUCUGUCGAAGCUCCAACCGACGAUCCUCCGACAUCCGUGCGUCGCUAUCCCCUUCGAGAGCGCCAGCCCAAAAGGUUCUUUGGUUGUGUUACCUCACAUUCUCUUUCUCCCCAUUUCCAUUCUUUUCUUGCUACCAUCCAUACUCACCAGGAACCACGAACAUACCGCCAAGCUGCUACCAUUCCUGAGUGGCAAGAUGCUAUGUCUGACGAACUUAAGGCUCUUCACAACACCGGUACCUGGACGCUUGUUCCUCUUCCUCCAGGAAAGGUUCCAAUCAGUUGCAAAUGGAUCUACAAAGUUAAGACGAAGUCUGAUGGUUCUAUUGAUCGAUAUAAGGCUCGCUUGGUUGCUCGCGGCUUUACUCAAGAGUAUGGCAUCGAUUACGAGGAGACAUUUGCUCCGGUUGCCAAAAUGACCUCUGUUCGCGUUCUUAUUGCUGUUGCUGCCUCUCGUGGUUGGCCGUUAUAUCAACUUGAUGUUAAGAAUGCUUUUUUACAUGGUGAUCUUCACGAAGAAGUUUACAUGGAGCCACCUCCUGGUCUUAAUCAUCCGCCUGGUCAUGUCUGCUUACUUCGCAAGGCGUUGUAUGGUCUUAAACAAGCUCCUCGUGCUUGGUUUGAGAAGUUCUCGACUGCCGUUAUCUCUGCUGGUUUUCGUCAGAGUGAAAAUGAUCAUGCAUUAUUCAUUCACUCUUCUGCUCGUGGUACUACUGUUUUACUUCUCUAUGUUGAUGAUAUGAUUAUCACUGGUGAUGAUCCCGAUUUUAUACAUUUUAUCAAAGCUUUCUUUCAACGUCAAUUUGAAAUGAAGGAUCUCGGGCUUCUCCGUUAUUUUCUAGGUAUUGAAGUAGCCUACGGUUCUAAAGGCUAUUUGCUAUCUCAACGGAAGUACACAGCGGAUCUCAUCUCUCGUGCUGGUAUUACUGACAAUGACACAGUCAAUACUCCUAUGCAACUUCAUCAAAAACUGACUCCUACCAUGGGUGAGCCACUUUCAAAUCCCACGCGCUAUCGGGAGUUAGUUGGAGCUCUUAUUUAUCUCACUAUCUCUCGUCCAGAUAUUGCUUAUGCUGUCCACAUAGUAAGCCAAUUUGUUCAGGAACCAACUUCUGUUCACUAUGCUGCUGUUCUUCGCAUUCUCCGCUAUCUUCGUGGCACUAUUAACCAGAGUCUUUUCUUUUCUUCUACCUCGGAACUUGCACUUCGAGCUUAUUCUGACGCUGAUUGGGCUGGGGACCAUACUGAUCGUCGAUCCACCACGGGUUAUUGCAUCUUUCUUGGUGAUUCGCUUAUUUCCUGGCGAGCUAAGAAACAGAAUAUUGUCUCCAAAUCUAGUGCCGAAGCUGAGUAUCGUGCUAUGUCUGCUACAGCAUCUGAGAUUGUUUGGCUUCGUCGUCUUCUUGGUGAUAUUGGCAUUACUUGCUCUACUCCGACACCUCUGUAUUGUGACAAUCAAAGUGCCAUCAAGAUUGCUAAUAAUCCGGUAUUUCAUGAACGCACUAAACAUAUUGAAAUUGAUUGUCACUUCGUUCGGCAUCAUUUUCUUAAUGGCACACUGGCCUUACCGUUUAUAUCUUCUCGUCUUCAGCUUGCCGACUUCUUCACAAAGUCUCAUACCACACAACGUCAUCAUUUUCUUUUAUCCAAACUCUCGGUGUUUAACCCACCUUGAGUUUGCGGAGGGGUGUUACCAUAUAUAUUACAUACCAUAUAUAUAUUAUAUAUGUUACCAUAUAUAAUAUAUAUAUAUUACUAUGUAUAUUACUUUCUUAUUAGGAUAGUAUUAUUUAUUUCUUUGUAUAACAGGAUAUAAUCCUGUACUUCCAUGUAAAGCUUUUCCUCUCUCUAUAUAAGAGAAUGGAUUUAGAUGAAUAAUAUAUAGAAAAUUUUUCAAAUCUUUUGUUUCAAUACUUACUAGUUUGACAUUAAAUAACAUAAAUUUAAUAAUAAAUAAUUUACACUAAUUUGAAUUAAAAUUAUAUUAAAUUUUAAAUACCAAAAAGAAAUUUUCCGUUGGCGGUGACGGGGGCGGAACGGGGAUUCUUAAAACCCGCCGGGAUGGGGUCGGGGAAGGGCCCCUCCUUCUCCGCCCCACCCCCGACCCCGUCCCACCGUGUUGCCAUCAUUACUAAAUAUUCAAAAGUUUUUCUAAAACUAGGAUGAGGGGAUGCAAAAUUUACAUCGCUUUUUUACACGUACAAAUAGUUUGGUUUUUUUUAUUUUUUAUUUUUUGUUUUUUGUUUUUUGCUUUUUAAUUAUUUUUUUUUUUCUUUCGGCUUAUAUCCUAGUUGAAGUUUUAAUUGAACUUCAUGCAACGUUGGAGAAUGAAUACCUGGCCGAAACUUAAUGAAGCCGGGUAUAGUGCGGCACCAAGGUAGUUGGGUGCAUGAUAAUGAUGUCGGGAUAUAUUAAUGCCUUUGAUUAAUAAAUUAUUAGUUUAGUUAUCUUUUUAUUUCUCUAAAGUUUUUUCUUCAUAACAUUCAAUUUUAGUAUUUUAGGCAUCGAAUGAAUUGAGCUAGAAUACUCUCAAAAGCACCAACCCAUUGGUGCUUUUGAGUUUCUGGCUCUUGGAUCUACUUCUUAAUUACUAGUAAUCUUUGGAUUAAAUAUUAUUUCACCUACCACCAUCAUCUCAACCCUACAUCUCUCCAUCCAAUGGCUAAAAACUCAAAAGUAUCAACCCCUUGGUGCUUUUAAGAAUAUUCUAACUCAAGCCGAGUUUAGAAUUUUGAAUAUUAAUCUUCAAACUCUUAAUCAACUAUGCUAGAUACGGCCGGUGCACCGUAAUUUUGUCCAAUUAAUUUUUGUUGUGCGACAAGUUCUCAUAUAUAGUUCACCGGUUACUUAUAACCAGAUCUGGUCCUUUGGAACACAAGCACGAAAUAGUAACUUGUCAUGGCCACAGAAACAAUGAGUAGGUGUACCAUCACUCUAAUUAGCCAUGAAAAAGAAAUUGAGCCACACAAAUCACCAACUUAAAAGGCUUAAAAAUAGGUUUAUUAUUUCAAAAAAUAACAUACUAAUUCCGGCCAGAGAUGCAUUCAAGUAUGUAAAGCUGGAAAGAAACAGUAAUGAAAUGUAAGGUAAAAAAAAAACAGUAGAGGCAAAAGACAUCGGUGUUGUUUUCAUGGUAUAUAUGACCAGUAUGAUAAAAAGAAAAUUAGUUCGAAACUAAUUCAAAUCUUUUCAGAAGAGCAAUAGAAGAAACACUAAAAUUAAGAAGGAAAGCAAAUUAAUUAACGCUAGCGGUACCAUUUGAUUAAAAGCAUUGAAUUAAGUUUUACAUUCAUAUAGAAAAGACUGAAUAGGGCGAUACCGAUACAACUUAUGCUCCUCCGUCUAACUGUUGUCCGUAAGUUAACCAUCUUAUCAGAUAUGCUGGUUUUGAAAUAUUUAAGUUUCAUCAACGUGGAAAUAUUAGUCACUCGAUCGAAAACCAUACGAUUUUCAGUAGAAUUCCUUCUAAAUAGUGAUUUAUUACGUCCUCAAAAAUGAAGGUAAUGAGGUACUUUCACCUCCUCAAUUUAUCUUUUUUUCUUUUUCAGAUUAAACAAAAAUCUCAUUUCCUCUAUUGGACUUUCCUAAAAUUCUAAUACCCUAACCACCAUUUGCGGUGUUUAACUAACUAGAUAUAUAUAUAUAUAUAGAGAGAAACUACAAAUCUCUUACAGUGUUGCGCAAAAAUUAAUAUGAAAGAGGCACAGCCUAGGUAGAUCUCUCUGAACACUAGCUGGAAUAGUUUAUUAUAGGGGUCCACUUCGAGGUUACAUUUAAAAUGGCUCCACCAUCCUGUGCAAUAGGAUGAUGAUUAGAUUAAAAUAGCAAUUGAUUAAGAUGCCUUCGCAAACAUGCAUGACACACAUUGUAAUUUAUGCGCAAGAUCCAAGGGUUUAAUUACAUACCUUGUAUAUAUCUUAAGUUCGGUCUCCAUUAAGAAUAUCCAUUAAAUAAUUCGACACGAUCGACUAUUCGCACUCUAAGUACAACUCAACCCAAUAUUCUUCUGUGUUGAUGAGGUAUCAUGAUGAUUUUGCCAAGGAUUAGAUUCGACAACUGUAAAAUAGCCUUAUCAUAAUCGUUAUUGUUUAUCGGUAUACGCCAUUAUGAAAAGUUUUUUUUUUUUUUUUUUUGGUUUGAUGGAAUGAUAAUUUGUACACAAUGAAGUUUGUAUAUAUAUUUAUGUUUUCUUUCUGCAGCUUUGUAUGCAGAAGACUUCGUAUAUGCUUGGAAUUUAACGUACUACCGAAAAAUUUAGAAACUAACUUUCAUAAGAAUUAAGCUAGACGCGCAAUUUUGACUAGUGACAAAUCAAAGACGAUGAUCUAAAAGUUUGAGAUGUAUGGAGAGCUGAGAAGAAGGCGAGUCGUUUACGAAUAAAACUACGAGAAUUUAACAGAAAAUUUAGCUGGAACAACUAAAAAUUCGAACUCCGUAGUACUAAAAUAUAGAGAUUAAAUCUAGAGUUCGACCUUGGCUUUAUGAAAUCAUAUACAUAUCUCUUAAUUAGAUAACAAACUUUUGAUUGAUUGAUGCUACCUAAACCAAACAAAUUUAGGAACGGUAUAUGUUUCAUG
rnacentral:lncRNA from 1 species